UACGUAGGGUGCAAGCGUUAAUCGGAAUUACUGGGCGUAAAGCGUGCGCAGGCGGUUUUGUAAGUCUGAUGUGAAAUCCCCGGGCUCAACCUGGGAAUUGCGUUGGAGACUGCAAGGCUAGAAUCUGGCAGAGGGGGGUAGAAUUCCACGUGUAGCAGUGAAAUGCGUAGAGAUGUGGAGGAACACCGAUGGCGAAGGCAGCCCCCUGGGUCAAGAUUGACGCUCAUGCACGAAAGCGUGGGGAGCAAACAGG
rnacentral:rRNA from 1 species